AGUUUGAUCAUGGCUCAGAUUGAACGCUGGUGGCAGGCCUAACACAUGCAAGUCGAGCGGCAUCGAGUGAGCGCAGUUUACUGAGUUCAUGUCGGCGAGCGGCGGACGGGUGAGUAAAGUCUGGGAAUCUGGCCGAAGGAGGGGGAUAACUGCUGGAAACGGCAGCUAAUACCGCAUGAAGUCGCGAGACCAAAGUGGGGGACCUUCGGGCCUCACGCCUUCGGAUGAGCCCAGAUGAGAUUAGCUGGUAGGUAAGGUAAAGGCUUACCUAGGCGACGAUCUCUAGCGGGUCUGAGAGGAUAGCCCGCCACACUGGAACUGAGACACGGUCCAGACUCCUACGGGAGGCAGCAGUGGGGAAUAUUGCACAAUGGGCGAAAGCCUGAUGCAGCCAUGCCACGUGUGUGAAGAAGGCCUUCGGGUUGUAAAGCACUUUCAGCGAGGAGGAAGCGAUAAAUGCGAAUACCAUUUAUUUUUGACGUUACUCGCAGAAGAAGCACCGGCUAACUCCGUGCCAGCAGCCGCGGUAAUACGGAGGGUGCGAGCGUUAAUCGGAAUAACUGGGCGUAAAGGGCAUGUAGGCGGUGAGUUAAGUCAGAUGUGAAAUCCCCGAGCUCAACUUGGGAAUGGCAUUUGAAACUGGGUCGCUAGAGUUUUCUAGAGGGGGGUAGAAUUCCAGGUGUAGCGGUGAAAUGCGUAGAUAUCUGGAGGAAUACCGGUGGCGAAGGCGGCCCCCUGGAGAAAGACUGACGCUGAGGUGCGAAAGCGUGGGGAGCAAACAGGAUUAGAUACCCUGGUAGUCCACGCUGUAAACGAUGUCGAUUUGGAGGUUGCGGUCUCGAACUGUGGCGUCCGGAGCUAACGCGUUAAAUCGACCGCCUGGGGAGUACGGCCGCAAGGUUAAAACUCAAAUGAAUUGACGGGGGCCCGCACAAGCGGUGGAGCAUGUGGUUUAAUUCGAUGCAACGCGAAGAACCUUACCUACUCUUGACAUCCACGGAAUUGUGCAGAGAUGCGCAAGUGCCUUCGGGAACCGUGAGACAGGUGCUGCAUGGCUGUCGUCAGCUCGUGUUGUGAAAUGUUGGGUUAAGUCCCGCAACGAGCGCAACCCUUGUCCUUUGUUGCCAGCGCGUAGAGGCGGGAACUCAAAGGAGACUGCCGGUGAUAAACCGGAGGAAGGUGGGGACGACGUCAAGUCAUCAUGGCCCUUACGAGUAGGGCUACACACGUGCUACAAUGGCGUAUACAAAGGGAUGCGAACCUGCGAGGGAAAGCGGAACUCAGAAAGUACGUCGUAGUCCGGAUUGGAGUCUGCAACUCGACUCCAUGAAGUCGGAAUCGCUAGUAAUCGUAGAUCAGAAUGCUACGGUGAAUACGUUCCCGGGCCUUGUACACACCGCCCGUCACACCAUGGGAGUGGGUUGCAAAAGAAGUAGGUAGCUUAACCGCAAGGAGGGCGCCUACCACUUUGUGAUUCAUGACUGGGGUGAAGUCGUAACAAGGUAACCGUAGGGGAACCUGCGGUUGGAUCACCUCCUUAACUAUAAACUCUCACUAUCAGUGUCCACUCACAUUAUCUGAUAAAUCAUGAAAAAAGACGACAUUUCGUUUUUGUAUCUUACAUUGGGUCUGUAGCUCAGCUGGUUAGAGCGCACCCCUGAUAAGGGCGAGGUCGGUGGUUCAAGUCCACUCAGACCCACCAACUUACCUUAAAUUUUUGAUGGUAUGUUGCAACUUAAGAUAAUUUUUUUAUUGUACGGGGCUAUAGCUCAGCUGGUAGAGCGCCUGCCUUGCACGCAGGAGGUCAGCGGUUCGAUCCCGCUUAGCUCCACCAAGUUAAAUCAUUUUCAAGAAAUUGCUCUUUAAAAAUAAGGGAUAAGCAAGAGAUUGUAAGUCAGAAACAAUUUCGGGUUGUAAGGUUAAGUAAUGAAGCGUACAGGGAGGAUGCCUAGGCAGUCAGAGGCGAAGAAGGGCGUGUUAAUCUGCGAAAAGCGACGGUAAGCUGAUAAAAAGCGUGUUAGCCGUCGAUACCCGAAUGGGGCAACCCAGUGCAGAAUAUGCACUAUCGUAAUAUGAAUAAAUAGUAUUGCGAGGCAAACCAGGGGAAUUGAAACAUCUCAGUACCCUGAGGAAAAGAAAUCAACCGAGAUUCCCUAAGUAGCGGCGAGCGAAAGGGGAGGAGCCCGGAGUCACCAUCUUUGCGCAAUUAGGGGAAUCGUUUGGGAAGACGAGCCAUAGAGGGUGAUGGCCCCGUACCUGAAAAUUGCAGCAGAGUGAGCUCGAAGAGUAGGACGGGACACGUGAUAUCCUGUUUGAAGAUGGGGGGACCAUCCUCCAAGGCUAAAUACUCCUGACUGACCGAUAGUGAACCAGUACCGUG
rnacentral:rRNA from 1 species